AUUUACUUUUCUUCAUUCGCUCUGUCCUCUCUCUUCUCUGUUUCUGUAGUAGCCAUGUGUGUGAUUUCAGAAGAAUCCAUCGCUCAGUUUGAAGCUUUAAUGGAACAAGUUGAUGAAUCACUCAAAACUACUUUUCAGAAUGUUCAUCAAGGUUGUACAAGGGAUACAUAUCUGCGGUUCCUAAUAGCAAGAGAGGGAAAUGUUGCAAAUGCUCAUAAAAUGUUGGUUGAUUCUUUGAAUUGGAGAGUCAAAAAUGAGAUAGAUGAUAUUUUAUCGAAACCUAUCAUUCCUACUGAGCUUUACAGAUCAAUUCGUGAUUCUCAACUAAUAGGAAUGCCAGGUUACACGAAAGAGGGCCUUCCAGUAUUCGCUUUUGGUGCAGGACUCAGCACAUAUGAUAAAGCAUCGGUCCAUUAUUAUGUGCAAUCACACAUUCAGUUCAAUGAAUAUCGCGAUCGUGUAAUUCUGCCUGCUGCAAGUAAGAAGUAUGGGAAACGUAUCAGCAAAUCUCUGAAGGUUUUAGAUAUGACCGGCUUGAAACUUUCAGCUCUAAACCAAAUAAAGCUAUUGACUAUAAUUUCCUCAAUUGAUGACCUUAAUUACCCGGAGAAGGUAGUUGCAUACUACAUUGUCAAUGCUCCCUAUAUCUUUUCAGCCUGUUGGAAGGUAGUCAAACCUCUUCUACAGGAGAGAACCCGAAAAAAGGUUCAAGUUUUAUCAGGUUGUGGACAGGAUGAUCUAUUGAAGAUCAUGGACUAUUCGUCACUGCCCCAUUUUUGCCGGAGAGAAGGUUCUGGAUCUUCCAAAUACUCAGGCAGCUCAAGUGAAAAUUGUUAUUCCCUGGAUCAUCCAUUCCACCAGCAACUUUAUGAUUACAUAAAGCAGCAGGCAUUGCUUCGCAGACCUGUUCGGCCAGUUAAACAGGGCUCUGUCCAUGUGGAUUUUCCUGAUGCUGUCACUGAGGGGACUGAGUUUGUUCAGACGUUGGCAUCAGAAUUUCAAAAGUUCGGUAAGCAAAAUGGACUUUCUCAAUCACUAGAUGAUCUUAAUAUCAAUGAUCAUCAAGCAUAGAUAAUAAGAGUUUGGGUCAUUAUGCACUCGCUGACAAUUCUGGAUUCUCAUGCAAGUACAGUAUUAAUAGCUCGAGCAGUAUAGCAGAGGUUUUCUCCUAAUUAGACGCCUCACUCAAAUUUUAUAUGUUAUAGUUGCACGAGGGGUAUUUUCAAUAUACCAAGUAUGUAUAGGGGAGAUGCGGUUGACAUGUAUUAUUGUUAUGUUAGAUGUACAUAAGAGGCAUAUGUUGCCUGAGCUCUUACUAGUCAUCGCAUGUAUUAAUAAUACAAAUUAUCCAUCACUGAUGCUGACCCUUUUAUGUAUUGACACUAUGAUAUAAAUAAUGUCCAGCACAAUCCUGAAAGCUGGUUUGA
rnacentral:misc_RNA from 1 species